rnacentral:rRNA from 1 species
GACGAACGCUGGCGGCGUGCUUAACACAUGCAAGUCGAACGAAGUGGCGAACGGGUGAGUAACGCGUAAUCAACCUCCCCUUCAGAGGGGGACAACAGUUGGACACUACUGCUUAUACCGCAUACUGAAGGAGGGUAUUGCGUUGGAGUGGCUAGUUGGAGGGGUAACGGCCCACCAAGGCGAUGCUCAGUUGCCGGGCUGAGAGGAUGAACGGCCACAUUGGGACUGAGACACGGCCCAGACUCCUACGGGAGGCAGCAGUGGGGAAUCUUCCGCAAUGGACGAAAGUCUGACGGAGCAACGCCGCGUGAGUGAUGACGGCCUUCGGGUUGUAAAGCUCUGUUAAGCGAGACGCGGUACCGGAAUAGAAAGCCACGGCUAACUACGUGCCAGCAGCCGCGGUAAUUC